rnacentral:rRNA from 1 species
ACGUAGGGACCAAGCGUUGUUCGGAUUUACUGGGCGUAAAGCGUGCGUAGGUGGUUUUUUAAGUCCGUUGUGAAAGCCCUGGGCUCAACCUGGGAAUGGCAGUGGAUACUGGAAAGCUAGAGUGCGGUAGAGGGUAGUGGAAUUCCCGGUGUAGCAGUGAAAUGCGUAGAGAUCGGGAGGAACACCAGUGGCGAAGGCGGCUACCUGGACCAGCACUGACACUGAGGCACGAAAGCGUGGGGAGCAAACAGGA